UACGUAGGGUGCAAGCGUUGUCCGGAAUUAUUGGGCGUAAAGAGCUCGUAGGCGGUUUGUCGCGUCUGCUGUGAAAACUCGGGGCUUAACUCCGGGCCUGCAGUGGGUACGGGCAGACUAGAGUGUGGUAGGGGAGACUGGAAUUCCUGGUGUAGCGGUGAAAUGCGCAGAUAUCAGGAAGAACACCCGUGGCGAAGGCGGUUCUCUGGGACGGUACUGACGCUGAGACGCGAAAGCGUGGGGAGCGAACAGG
rnacentral:rRNA from 1 species